CACGUAGGUGGCAAGCGUUGUCCGGAUUUACUGGGCGUAAAGGAUGCGUAGGCGGAUAUUUAAGUCAGAUGUGAAAUACCCGAGCUUAACUUGGGUGCUGCAUUUGAAACUGGAUAUCUAGAGUGUGGGAGAGGAAAGUGGAAUUCCUAGUGUAGCGGUGAAAUGCGUAGAGAUUAGGAAGAACACCAGUGGCGAAGGCGACUUUCUGGACCAUAACUGACGCUGAGGCAUGAAAGCGUGGGGAGCAAACAGG
rnacentral:rRNA from 1 species